UGCGGGAUCGUCUAAAGGUAGGACAGCGGCCUUUGAAGCCGUGAAUCUUGGUUCGAUUCCAAGUCCCGCAG
rnacentral:tRNA from 1 species